UAAUAAUAAUAAUAAUAAUAAUAAUUAUUGCAAACUGUUUUCGGACCACUGACACAUGAGAAAUUCUUCAAAUGCGCAUUCUGUGAGAAGCGCUCAACAAACAGUGAAUUAGAUGUGCAUUUUCUUUAGUUUGUUCUUCAAAAUAUAUAAAAAGUCACAUAUAAUACGGAAUCACUCAGUAUUAAAGGGAACAGAAUUGUGUUUGGUAUUAAAUCAAUACAGUAAGUAUUGUCCCAUAUUUUAGCGCCUCAUCCGAACAGCUUUCAAUGUUAAUAAUUACAGAUUAGAAUGGAAAACAAAUAGAGAGAAAUAGAUCUGAAACAGACACCUUUCACAGGAGAGCCCUUACAUCUGCUGUUGCUCCACUAGUACACGGACGCAAAACUUGACAGAAAUGACAAUCAGCGCACGUCUUCUCUCAUGUUUUCCGUUGUUUUUCAGAAGUUCAUUUUGUCAGAAGGAAGAAAAAUUUGGGAAACUUUAUAGUAAAAAAUAACUAUAAAACGGAAAAUUAUACAGUGUUCCUGUGCGCGUGUAUUCACACAAUGAACGGCGCUCGCACUUGGCCUUCUGAAGCAAACAAGCAGAAACAAAAACUCAGGCAGCAUAUUUAUAUAAGGUUGGCAUUAAUGAUCGAUUUACUAUUGAUAAUUAACUUAUAAAUUCAACUAAAAACAAAACCUCCGAGUGCUCAUGUUUAUGAUCUGACUGGAACAAAUUGGACACCACUCAACCGAAAAAACCUCAACGGAUCUGCACAAAUUCAAAAGUGACUAUUUUUUAAAUCAAAACACCGUAUUAAGAGGAAAGGUAAGCAGUAUCCAUCCUUGACUUAACAUUGCUCAAACCAUUCGAACAGCUAAUGUCCAUUUGGCUGUCCUCUACACCUUGUCGGCAAUGCAAUUCUCCAGUGCAUCGAUUAGUUAUAAACAAAUUAUUUAUCAAACCACCUUAUUUAUUUGUUGUGUAUUUAUCAGUUUUCUUAUUGUAUGAGUGUGCUUCGUGUUAAUAUAUAUCCCUAAGAAAAACAUCCACCAACACAUUCAGUUGUAAUAUAAUAGGACUUUUUUUUGCCUCAGUGCUCCUGUUGCAUAAUAAGAAAAUUAGCAAAUAAUCAUAAAACCAGAAGGUAAUCUAACAGUCAAAAACUUACACUACGGCUUCCCUUAAUACAUUCCAUUCAGACUGCAAACUCAGAAAAAGAAAUGCUAUGUCUUUGGUGCUGUUGCAGGUUUUAGAGAAAAACUAACUGUAGCGCGGAGGAGGGCGGGGCCGGGCAGAAUGAUGGACGCCCAGACACCAAUCAGCCUGAUGAGGGAGGGAUGCCCGUCGUAGAGUCCUCGACACUGCCGUCCACCCAGGGGAGCGCCUCUGCCAUCCGCCAGGGGACGGAGUAGCCCGACCGCCUGGACACGGGGAACGGCCGCCAUCUGCGAGGAGGGACGGGACUCUCCGACCGCCUGGAGUGAUGGAGUCGCUGCCAGGGGCGGAGGAGUGUCCCCACGUGCCGCCAGAAAAGCAGAGGGGUGUUCUGUUCACUGGGGGUCGGAGGUUUGACUCCGGUCCGCCCGGGGAGGAGCGGCUAUCAUCCGCCUGAGAGGGUGGAGGAGUGAUCGUGAACCACGCGACGGCGCAUCAGAGAACCGGUCAAGGAAGAUGGGGAUGACCUAAGGCACGCCCCCCACCCCGGAGAGGAGGGGUGUGUACGUCAUGCUGGGGGCUCCCCAGCCUGAGGCAACACAGGGACGAGUGUAGUGUGGAGGAGGGCGGGGCCGGGCGGAAUGACGGAUGCUAAUGAGCGUGAUGAGGCGAGCGAGGGAUAAAGGCGACUGAAGACGGCAGCUCGAGAGAGAGCGAAUUAUGGGAAGCUGCCCUGUAUGUGUUUGUGUGUCUUAUUUAAUUAAAUAUUAUUUACAUUGUUAAGCCGGUUCUCACCUCCUCCUUUCCUUUGUACCCCCUUUACACUAACAAAUUUCAAUAAAUAGACUGAAAGAGUACAAUAAUAAAGAGAUCAUUAUCCUUAAAUUAAUCUUGCAUCUCUCUCUUUCUCCGUUCAAUGUAACCUGGUCAUCAUCCUCACUUGUAUUAGUAUCAGGUAUCUAUUCCCAUCCCUUUCUCUUUCUGUGUGUUUCUAAGCUGUCCUUGCAUCAGCUCUCUCUCUCUCUCUCUUAGCAGAUGGCUGAAGCAUCAACAGCAAUGUCAUUAAAUCCCACUUCACCCACAUACCCCCCUCCCACUGUUAGGGGAUAUUCUCCUGCUGCUGGGUCAUAA